AGGACGAACGCUGGCGGCGUGCUUAACACAUGCAAGUCGAGCGGUAAGGCCUUUCGGGGUACACGAGCGGCGAACGGGUGAGUAACACGUGGGUGAUCUGCCCUGCACUUCGGGAUAAGCCUGGGAAACUGGGUCUAAUACCGGAUAUGACCUCCUAUCGCAUGGUGGGUGGUGGAAAGAUUUAUCGGUGCAGGAUGGGCCCGCGGCCUAUCAGCUUGUUGGUGGGGUAAUGGCCUACCAAGGCGACGACGGGUAGCCGACCUGAGAGGGUGACCGGCCACACUGGGACUGAGACACGGCCCAGACUCCUACGGGAGGCAGCAGUGGGGAAUAUGCACAAUGGGCGAAAGCCUGAUGCAGCGACGCCGCGUGAGGAUGACGGCCUCGGGUUGUAAACCUCUUUCAGCAGGACGAAGCGCAAGUGACGUACCUGCAGAAGAAGCAACCGGCUAACUACGUGACCAGCAGCCGC
rnacentral:rRNA from 1 species